rnacentral:lncRNA from 1 species
AGGCUUUUAGGUUAGUUUUGCAUUUGAUUCAAGUUUGGGUAUAGGUUUGGGAUUAAAAUCAAGUUGUGGGUUAGUUUUGGCAAAAACCCCUCUUUAUUAAUCCAUAUCCAUGCAUUCAGGAUACAUACUAGAUCAAUAACCACACAUGCAUGUAUAUAAUAAGAUUAUAUACAUAUCUUCAUAUGUAAUUAGAGAGAUUUUAGUUAAUAGCUGCAUAACAUGAUGAAGAUAAUGUUUUCUGAGAUGAUUCUUCAGAGGAGGACCAAUCGCUUCACGCUGAAGAUCAUUUGACAGUUUCUUGUGGAAAGACUUUGAGAGAUCGCCUGUCAAACCUUCUCAAAAAGUUCAAUAUAUGUCUUCUUCUCCUUUAGGUAGGGGUCGUGGAAAUAAACACAGCCCUGGGCGUAGGGGACGUGGAAGCCGAGGCAAGAUAUCUGGUUUUUCUCAUUCCCUCCAACUUUAAAAAGUUUAUCAUCUAGACCUUAUGGUCUUCCUUCUAUCAUCAUGCUUGUUGUUGGCUUUUAAGUGCUUAUGUUGCUAUAUUUAUAAAACUUUGUUUCACUGCAUGGAUCAUUGCUUGUAACUUUAGUUUUAAUUUUAAUUUUAUUUAGAAAGCCUUUUAAAAAUAAAAAGCUCCAUAACAUUUUGAUUUAUGUUUUUCCACCAAUGUAUAAAUUUGGAUCAGCUGGAAAAAACGCCUUAGAGCAUCUCCAACCCACUUCUAUGGUAGAGAUCUCUAAAAUCGAGAAAAAAAAUAGAAAUGAGGUUUUUGUUAUAAUAGAAGAACACAUUGGAGCAAAAACUUCAUCUCUAUUUUAGAACUCUCUAUUAUAUAAGUGAGUUAGAGAUGGUCUUAAAUAAUUAAAAUCAAGUGGGGUCAGCUGACCCCACUCCCUUCAAUACGCCUCCGCCCCUGCUUAUAAUCGAAGGAAGAAAGUAUAUGUUUUACAUUUAACUAGGUAAUAAUCCGCGCCUUGCGCGGAAUGUGAUUAUUAGUUUCGUUAUUUUUUAAUAAGAAGACAUUAAUCUGUUUAAUCUGGAUAUCGGUUCGGUUUUAGGUUAUUUUUUUUUGUUUUUAAUCUUCUAAAAUAUAACUAUCAUUUUAAAUCAAUAUUUAUUUGGUUUGUUCGGUUAAAAUGUUUUAUGUUUUUGUUUUUGUUUUUCCUGUGAUAAUCAAAAAAUUACUAUUAUUUGUUUGUUUUCAUGUUAUGAUCCCUAGAUAGUCGUGAUGUCGAACAAAUGGUUUCAUAUUAUAGUUUCUAAACGAAUAAUAGUUAAAAAAAAAAAAAAUUAUUAAGACAAAUCAUUUUACUACAAUUUAAUUGAUAGUGAAAGAAGAAUUAAGAAAAAGAAUAUUUUAACUUCCAAAAAAUUAGAUAUUUUACUUGUGGUAAAUGCUUAGUUAUAAGGUGCUCACGUCAAUGUGCACAUAUAUGUGUAUGUAAAAAUAUAUAAAGAUGGUUGAUAAAUAUAUAAAGAUACUGUUAAUUAAUAUUAAAUAACAUUUUUUCUAAAUAAUACAUGAAAAAUAAAAUUCUUAAAAUGAAAUUAUUUAAAAACAAAAAUAUUGUAAAAUUUAUAUAAACUAUAAUAUAUAACUUAUCUAUAAUUCUUUAAAUAUAUGUAUAUAUAUAUGCAUAUAACGGAUAUUGCAUUUUAGUAUUUGAUUUGCUUCGUAGAGUAACGGAUAUCCGGAUUUUUCGGUUCGAGUCAAAACGGAUAACGAAUCGAAUCAAAAUGUAUGAAUAAUUUGUAUAGUUCUAUUCGUAAACAGUAAAAAUAACGUAAAGAAGAAUCAUGCAUGUGAGUUUUAUAUUAAAAAAACGUAAAGUACAUAGUGUGAACAUAUUUAUGUAGAGUUUGGCUGAGAAGCUAUCUACAUGUGAAAUACGUUCAUUUUAGUGUGAACGAAUUUAUUACAAUGCUUCUACAUAUGACAUGUGUCCAGUUUAGUGUGAACGCAUUUAUUACAAUGAUUCUUUAAAGGAUUAAGACAGUAUAACACCUUUCCAUAUAACAGCUUCAAAUACGCAAAGAUACAAGUUACCAAAAAAAUACGCAAAGAUACCAUAAUUUAAAUGAAAAUAAAUUCCAAACUCAAUACGUACAAUAAGAUUUAUAAUAACUUGUUUUCAUAUAAUUUUAGAAAAAUUUAAAUUAAAAUGAAAUUAUGCGUCUAGCGCAUCGUAAUCUAGUUAAUACUUAAAUACCAGUUCUUCCUCAAAUAGUGAAAUGACAUAGUUAAUCAUUAAAAUGAGGAAUACGGAAAUUUAGUUACUGUAUACUAUACUGAGAUGUUUUCUAUCCGCGCUUUUUUUGGUCAAUGAUGUUUUCUAUCCGCUUAAAAAAUGCAAAUAGCAUGAACAUGGUAUAUUUAUACCUACAUGUUAUUUAACAAAAGAUCACUUUCCACAUGUACUUAAAUAAUUAGCUCAAGCCUCGCACGAUUGAUCCUCUAGACAAUAUUAAGAAGAUAAAUAACAAUACUCUUCAAAUUCAUCAAAAAUACAUCAGGUAUUCCAUGUUUUCCAAUUAAAACAGAUAAUGGGCAAGGAACAUGAAAUCACGACUUUACAAUCAGAGGAGUUUAUCCUACAACCAGAACACAUGCAAAGCACUCGUUAUGAUGCUGAAGGACAUCUUGACGCUUUGGUUCAAUGGAAAGGUUUAUCGGUUCAUGAGAGUUGAUAGAUGCGAAUGAAGGAUAUUUCUAGAGACUUUCCUCGAUUUGAUCUUGAGGACAAGUUCAUUCUCACCGAGGAGAUAUUGAUAAGAGCUGGAGAUGUUAUUAUUGUAAGAGAUUGAAGAAGAAGAGCUUAGAAACUGACGUGGACAAGAUUCAAGAGAAAAAAGAUCAACAACUUCAACAAGAAACGGCGAUGGCCGUUUGAAGUUUUUUUUGUAAGGUUGGAUUGUUUUAUUAAGCCAUCUAGGCAAAGAGUUCUAAACAAUGAGAAAUAGCAAAACAAAUGUAAGAGAAGAGAUAUACCAGUAGGGAUCCAAAAUAAAUUAACACAUCUAUUUUGCAUAUUGAUGACUAAAGAUUUUUCAUAUUAAUCCAAGAACACCAGGCUUCAGGUUGAAUUGAGAAUGAUUGUCACUCUCUUUUUAAUACUCCAGUAAGAACCACCGAGACAAGACAACUUUUUAUAUUGUUUUAUUGAUAAUAAUAGAGUCAAAGAGGUUACCGUUCCAUAAAAUUUGAUGCUGCCUUUUGAAGUAAUCAUAGUUUGCAGCAAGACUAUGUCACCAUCACAUGAAGACCAUCAACGAUUGAAGCCGAUAAGACCCGUCUGCAGUAGAUUUGUCAAUUGCUCUUUUUAAACGGUUCAAAUUGAACCAAAGUUUUUGUUUUUCCAUAUCCAUUGGCAGAAGCACACAAAAACAAUCAAAAACUUUGCAAAAUUUUUUUAAAAAAAUGACAAUCAAGCAAACUAAGUAACCAGAGGUAAAUUAAAUUAAAGAAAGAGAAGCAAAACGAUUCCAACAAGCCGAUGACGAAGCUAUAGAAGCCUUAGCCAUCGGCUUGAAACUAUAGAGUCGGAGUUUGAAGUUAGUUAGAGUUUGUUAAUGUCGAGUCAUUAUUGAGCUAUAUAUAAAUAAUACACCCUAGAGUUGUAAAAGGUUUUGCUUUUUUAGUACAUUUGGGUCCUUGGUUUGUAAACCUUGAUAUUGGGCUUUUCUCGUUGUAUUUGACAAGUUAAGAUAUAAUACAAAGAGAUAGUUAAUGGUAUCUUGUUCCUUAUCAAAAAGUCUUCUGUCAAACUGACAAAGUUAAUGGGUAGGAAGACUAAAUGUUUACAAAUUAACAAUAUACUAUAUAUUUAUAUACUUUUAUUAAAUAUCAUGAUUCACAAAAAAAUAUUAUUAUUUUGUUUUACAAUAUACAUACAUGGCCUUUCUACGUGAAAGUUGCAUAAGUUUUUGUGUGUGUUUGUGGCCCCAGAGUGCAAUUAGUUCGGUGUCUUCAGCGGAGCAAUAGGCUACUUGACUAGUUGUAAAGCUUUGAAAGAUAAAAACUGCAAACCGCAUUAUGAAUAAGAGUUCAUUUAAUGUUGUUUAUUUAUACACUAACAAAGCCACUAAAGGAUCGAAACUUCUUGUCCAAGAAAGUUCCAGUACUCAGUCAUCCUUGAGGACAUGUUCCCAAUCCGAGGUCGGGCUCUCGUAGCCGUUGUCGUAUGCAGAUGGUUCAGUAUUAGCGCACGUCUCUAUCUGUGAGUUUCCACCUAUUGUCAUCGUCGAGCCUGACAAGAGAUAAUCACACCUUUGUGUUCUGUUUCUUGGCUGGUCACUGUCUGAAUCUGAUUCGAAAUCUGAAUCGGAAUCAGAAUCAAAGUCCACGCUGUUGAGAGAUUUCUGAACUUGCUCAGCUUCCCGGCGUUUUAGUACCUGGAAUCUACCCGUAAAAUCACUCAAAUGGCUGCUUCUGCCAAUAGUAGCCAUCUCAGAAGCCUCUGGAUUGUCUUCCUGGUCAUCCAUUCUUGUCUCUGAGGAGUUAAGUGACUUGAGUUUGCCAUUUGUUUCCUGCUGCUCCAGAAUCUGAAACCCGUCUAUAACACCAAUGUCUGGAUCCGGGAAGUUCUGAGACUUGAGUUUGCCCUUUGUUUCCUGCUGCUUCAGAAUCUGAAACCUGUCUAUAACAUCAUCAUGGCUUUCCUCUGUGGUGGAUACAGGGAACUCCUGCUUUAUCGUGUCCGGUAUCUGAACACCAGGCUUGAAGUUUCCAUGAUUUUCCUGUUCUAAACAGCCGGUGAAGCUGCUGGACAUAACUGAGAGCACUGCACCAACGGGAGCAGAGUUGAAUCUAGAGCUUUGUGGUGCGUCAUGCCACAUUGUAACUACAUUGUUCCCACAAUUGCUCCCGUGUUUGAUGAUUGGUUCAGCCGUCUCCUGCUCUACCUUGUUUAUGAUGGAAACUGAUUUCUGAGGGUUAAGAAAAGGUUCCAGCUUGAAGGUUGAUGCAUCUGCAGAGACCUCUGAGAAAAGUAAAAGAUGAAGUGUUAAAACAAAUACUUUUGAAGCGUAUUCGCAGGAUGAUGUGCAGGGUUCAUUUCUUAUACUAUAUCUACACCUGUUAGCCAAUUUUUAAAUUUUUCUAGCCAUUAGAGAAAGAUACAAAACCGGUCGUCUACACAUGAUUUACUUGAUUAUUGAAAUGGACCUGAGACUAACAGAAUCCUAAUCUCAUCUACCAGCAUUUUGGAGAAAAUGCUCUUGCAAUCCAGCUCUAGUAGUGAUUAAUACUAUCAGACAAAGGAGACGGUUAGUUUGAAAGUUACAAACCUCUAUUCUGCAAUUUGAGAUUAACAGUCUCUUUCUGAAUCCGAUGGUACCGAGCCAGGCAAGUUGUGGAGCAUAAGGCAGCUUCCGUUUCAAGCCAGAGAUUCUUGUACAAAAGAGUUUGUGGGUGGUUUUCUUCACCAUCAGGAAACUUGGAAGCAAGUAUGUUCUUAAUACUCUGCAAAGUUAAGAUUACGUUACGAGUUUACAAAUAUGCAAAAAAAAGUACCAUGUAAAUAAAUACCUGCGUCAUCUCAUCCUUAUCUACAGAUUUUUUAAAGCCAAAGCUAUCCAGUGGCUUGACAUUAAACCCUUGAAACUCUUUAGCAACUACAUUUGGGGCCUGAAAAGGGUAUCGUUAAGCAACUAACAGCAAACAAGAACAAGCAGCGUGUAUGUUCUAGUGAAAAGCCAAAUAGGUCCGGAUCAUAGCACAAAUCAAGUACCUCGUUAAGGUCGGCCACAUUUGGUAAGGAAACAUGCAUAGCUUGUGUUGGAACUGAUGCUUCACCUGCUAACGUCUUGUUACAGGUGAUUUUCUUUGAACACCUAGUGAGAUUCUCUACUACUUUAUCAAGACUCUCAAGUUGUUCUGGCUUCAGUAAGCUUCCAUUGUUGAAACAUUCAUAAACAAGCACUUCUGACAGAUUAUGCAAGGCACUAACCACGGAAGAAACUCUUGUAGAAGAAGCCGGGGAUGUGAAACCUCCUUGAUCACAUAGAGGUGAUUGACCAGUUGAGACACCGUCUGCAUUCGAUCUACUACUCCCUUUGAUACCAACAUCUGGCAACAACUCGGACUUGUUAUCAAACUGUUCCAAGAGCUUACAUGUCUUGGCUUGAACAUCUUCACUAGGUUGAUUAGCACUAGCUUCAGAAAGGGUUUCAUAGCUGACAGCUGACUGAGCAGCAUUCCUGUUAUCGGCUUUCAUUGACUCACUUCCCUCAGAAGAUACCAUGAAGUGGUUCCAAGAUCCAUGAUCAUCACAAUUUAAAUCAAACUGUAGCAUCCGGGGAAUCUUUGAACUAGUUGAGCCAACUGUCCCGUCGCCAAGAUCUGGAUUCUCCGACAAAGGACCAAGCACGGGUUCAACAGAAGCACCGGAUUGAAUAUACUCAGGCGAAACAUUGUGACCGAAUGAUCUUCCAUCAGAGAAAGCUUCUGUUUUGAAGGUCGGCAAAAGCAUAGAGGGAACACAUAAGUAAGGCACCACAGGAGGAGGAGGACACACACUUUCAUGCGUACCAUAGCCAGAACCAGAACCAGAACAGGAAUGUCCAGGUCCAGGACGGUUGAGAUCAAAAGCAUUGGUAGUAGCACAAACACCAGAAGGAGGGAUAGGCACAUAGAAAGGCUCCUGAGAGUUUCUGAUAAGCAUGUCAGCUAAAGAAGACACUGUAGCUGAGCUAUAAGGAGGCUUCAAAUAUCCACCCUUGUUGUCUUUGCUAGAAUCUUCACCCCCGUGACCUGCAGAGACAAUAUAAUCAUUAAACUUUUUAUGUAAAUUCAUGAUCAUAUCACACGCUAACAUAAACAUCCAUCAAAACUAGACUCAUCUCUCUACAGUUCGAAACCCUCACAGUUAAACUCCCAAAUUUGAUUUGAUUAAAAUAUAUUAUAUAUUAUAUAUAUAUAUAUAUAUACCGGGUCGAGUGACAAACGAUACUAAAGGCACCGGAGGGCCAGUAUAAUCACCAGACGACGGCGAUCGGUGAUGAGGAAUCAUCGGAUCAAACCCUACUCGUGUUUGAUCGUAGGACUCGACAGGAUGGGUUGCGAGAAACGCGGGGGUAGAAGCUGGCGGAUUAGGAGAAAGCCAGUACGGGUGCGGUGCUCCAGCAAAACCGCCGUAGCUAAAUCCGUCUGCCAUCUCCGGUGAAGAAGAAGAAGAAGGAAAAGUGAUUAUGCAGCAGCUAAGUGGUGAGGAUUGGCUUUGAAGUUAGUCGAAAUCAGAAUCUUCCUAAUGGGGCCAGAGGUCUUAUAGGGUUUUAACGUCAUUAUCUACGCGAUUUAAUGGCGAUUAGUUUCUAGAUAAUCACGAUUUAUUUUAAAUACAGGUUAUACCGGACCGAUAAACAAUGGGAAUUUAGAUAAUUAUCAUUUAGAUCAUCACGAUUUAUUAAAAAUGCAGGUAAUAUCGGAACGAAAAACAUUGGAAAUUUAGAUAAUUAUCAUUUGAUAUUUAUCUGAAUAAAGAAGUAAACAUUUCUUCUUCUUUUUUUUUUUUUGGGGCAAACAAAACGAACAUUUUAUCAAUGUUUUGAAACCCGAAGUGGAAUCGCGGUUGAACCGGUAAACCCGGUGACUUAGAAAAAAUCCUAUUUGAGUUUUGUGAAAAAUCCAAUAUUUAGAAAUCCACAAAAACCCGUAAAAAUUCAGUAAAACCCGGAAUCUGAUACCAGUUGAACCAUCGGUUGACCCAAUAAAUAACUUUUAUUUCUUUUUUUUUUAGUUUUUAGAUGUUUUAUAUUCUAAGUUUUUAAUUAAAAACUUAGGUGCUGACAAAAAAAAUUUAAGUUUUCCUUUUUCAGUUUUAUAUAUGUGAUUUUUAGAUUUUGAUGAAGAUUUCUCUAUGCCACCUGAAGAAAAUGAAGUGAACGAUGGUAGAGAGAGCCAAAAUUAGUUGAUGUGAUUUGGUGUUAGUUUAUUUCCGUUAUUAACAAUUUAUUACAAUGAUUUUUUUACCUUUGGUUUAUUUUAUAUUUGAAGUUUAAUUUAUUAUUCAUUUAGAAACUUAAAUAUUUAUAAAUUUGAUGUCUUGAUUUUUUUUAGAUGUCAUAACUCUUACCUUGUUAGAGAAAAUUUUAAAUAGUCUAAAUUAUUUUUUUGAUAUUUUGUAUGUCAAAUGAAAAUAUAAAUAUAAAAAUUAUUUAAACAUAAAAUAUAUACAUAUCCAAACUAUUAUUUUAUGUUUUAAAAUAUAUUUAGAAAAUAUUAAACUUUAGUUUCUAUAUUUUUAUUUACAUAGCUGAUAUAUUAUUAUAUAAUAAAAUUAAUUCAUUUAUCAACUUGUGGUUUACCUGCGGUCGACCCAGUGACCCAGUAACCCGGUAAGUCGUCCGGUUCAGUGUCCGGAUCGGAUUUAAAAACAUUGCAUUUUAUAUACUUCCUAUUUUUAUAAAAAAGUUUCGUUUGAAUAUUUUUUUUCUUGAUCAAACCAACAUUUAGUGCAUACUACUUGUAUGAAUAUGAAACGAGCAUAUGAGUUGCAUGCCAUUGAUAAAGACAAUGAACUGGCCGCCAAAAACUUCAAACAUUUUUAUCUGUUGAUCUUGUUCACAGACUUCCUUCUGUCUAAACUAGCCAUCCUUGGGGUAAUCAUCCGAAGUAAUUGCAUGUUUAGUCGUAGAUGUAACUUCUAGAGAAACGUAUGCAGGUUUCUCCUGAGGUUAGUCUUUGAUCUAAUUCUCGACGGGUGGUUCUUGGUAUAAACAUGAAAAUGUUUGUUUCCUUUGUGCUAAGUACCAUUCGGAAAAAAUAUACGAAUAGCUCAAUAGUAAUCUUCGCUAUUUCAUUGUCAAGUGGGUAAAAAGAAACGCGUUUCAAAAAGCCUAAUUAUGUAACAAGAACUCCCUAAUAUAAAUCAAGAGAAGUAGCUAGCUAGAGUCUUAACAUCUCAUCAUAACGUUAUACAUGUAUACAACCAAAUACCCUCUCGUACACUCGCCCCCUGAUAAGGUGAAAACUGAAACCAAAACCAAAUAAAAAAGAACCUGGUUCGAACAUAAUAUAUACACAUAUAAGGUUUCAGUUUUCAGAUCAUCACGGAAGCUCGGACGUCUGCGGUUAGACUGCAAACUGACAUCAAGAACAGGAUUGCAACUACGGCCGCUCUAAGAAGUCCCCCGGAUGAACACCUCACGGACACAAACUUUUUAAACAAUAAUCCGGUUCUGUUCUGUGAUUGCUUCCCCUUCUUCAUGGUCUCUCCAUCCCUAUCCUCAACCUGUGUGUAGCAUUCAUUCGUUAAGGUGUAAAAAAAAAAAAAAAAAGAGAAAACCGAAUAAUUCAUGCGAAGGUGGUUAUUAUUCUCACCUCUCGCUUGAUAGUCUGAAGCUCUAGACUUUUCGCUCUAAUACCUUCAAGGUUCCUUUGCAGACGCAACCUUUUUGCGGCACUUCCAUGGACCAUAUAGCUAGUGGCACAACCUGAGGGUUGUUGCUGCCGAGCCUGUAACUUGAUGAUACCUGUUCUUGAAACAUCAUUACUCAUGGAGUGCUGUGCAUAUGCAAUCUGAUGUGGCGCUGACUCUUCCUGCUCUGGAACUGCUUCGUCUGGGAGAUCGAGAAUCGAGUCCACAAAGUCGGAUAUAUAUGUAUCCACCUCGUUUGUACCGCACUGAGUCUGAACCUGGGAGCUGUUGUUGUGAUUCCCUGAAAAGUCACUCAAGCCAGACUGAAAUGCGUUGAGAGAGAAUCCAAGCUCGGAUUGGAGUUGAGAGUGUGAUGGGGAGAACAUUUUGUAGUUCAGUGACUCCAGCUCCGGAAAAGACAAAUCAUCAAUAUCUCCAAGCUGUGAUUCAAUAUUAAAAAAAAAAAAAAAAAACUCCUUUAGUUUGCAAAACCUACACUUAAGACAACAUUUAUCUCCAAGAAAAAAACUCUGCAAUGUCCUCACCUGGGCGGUUGUAGCCUCAACGCAAGCACCGAUACGAGAAUCACCGGAGACUACAAGACAAGAUUCGGCAAUGUCAAAACGCUUCACGUCUUCUGUUUUAACAACCACUGAUACGUGAGAUCUAGUCUCAUCAGGGGAAGAUGUUGCACCAGCUGGAGACAAGACAUCCUGGUCUGCAGCUUCAUCCAACUUUGAAUCUUCAUCAGCUAAACCCAACUCUGGUUUCUUGAACAAUUUGCAUAUAACAAACGGACUCUGCAUAUAUAUAUAUAUAUAUCAAAAAACGUAACCAAAUAUGGUUUGUAAAUGGGUUACAUACACACCUCUACAUGUGUUGUUGCAUCAUUUUAUUUACCUGGCCAGGAUUGGUGCCACUGAGGUCAUCCUCGGUGGCACGGUACUCGUGCAUGAUCCAGUUGGUUCGUGUCCCCUUGGGAGCUCGACCAGAGUGGAAAACCAGAGUUCUCUUCAGGCCGAUGAUGCUGCUCUUGCCGGAUUUGAUCUUCCGGUCUUUCCCCGUGGCUUUCCAGUAGCCUGCGAUUGUUGCCCGGUUCUGUCUACUUCCGUUUGGGUACUUCCGGUCCAAUGGACAGAAGAAUAACCACUCUGAGUCGUUUGUCUUAAUCACAGAGAAACCUACAACACAAGGUCAUGAUCACAUCAGGAAAAUUAAACUGAUGUGGCAAUCAAACACCCAAAAGCUAUAACUCCUUAAACAUAUUCCUAAAAUAGGAAAAGAUUAUAACUUGGAUUCAAGAAGAAGUAUAAAUCUUGAAUCUAAGUAAAAAAAGAAGUUUAGGUACCAGGUAAAUCCCAAGGUUCCCAUUUGCAGAUGUCGAUCUCUCGGAUGGCUGUGACGUCGUCAUCGUGGCCGUUGAUUUUCCUCUGGAGAUAGAAGCUGACUAGCUCCUCGUCAGUUGGACGGAAUCUCAACCCCACUGGUAACGAAUCUAACGUUAAUACUUUUAUAUUCUGAUUCAUAGAUGCCAUUUUUAACGAAUCGGGAGAAGAAGCAGAAACCCAAAUACUGAAAUAUUCCCAGAUACGGGUUGGAUAAGAAACUUUUUUUUAUUAUUAGAGAUGCGAUUCGAAGGUAUCGAGAAGAAGAGGACAAUAAAAUUUUUACAGUUGCUCUAAGAUUGGAUACGAUUUGGUAAAGUGAAGAAGAAGAAGAAGAAGAAGAAGAAGAAGAUGGUGAAGUUCGAUUUUUUUUUUCUUUAUCAUUGUGGUCAAAAGUAUUAUAGAGGUGAUGACCGGCGCGUGGGGUCAAUUGUUAUAUACACGCGCCCAAUUACGCGGUUUGGGAAAUUACUGAAAGUACUAUUUUAUCCUUGACGAUCAUUUAAAAAGAGCGUAAUACUGAAAAAAUCGCAGGGGUAAAGUAGGGAAGUUGAUGACAUGUAAAGUAAAUUGUUAAGUGUUAUGUCAGAGUACAAAUGAUAUAAUGACACGUGGAUACGAGUGAGGAAGUUUCGGUGUCGGCUCCACUUGUUGAGUUUCUCGGAUGUUCCUUGGCUUGCGAAAAUUGUUUUUGUUUCUUUCGAGCAGUUCAAGUGUUGCAGGCUGAAGCUCAAGCUAAACCAGGACAAAUGCAGAUCAAACCGAACAAAUGCAAAUGCAGAACAAGUGAAUCAUGCAGAAAAAAUGCAGAUCAAGCAGAUAAAAUAAUUUAUUAUAAAUUAUGAAUAACAAAAAUAGUUCAAAACUAUAAAUUAUAUAUUAAAACAAUAAAAACUACAUCAAAAUAUCAAAAUAAAUAUCUCAAAUAUUGUAGAAUCAACCGAAAUACCCGUAGAAUUUUUCAUAAGAUACUUAUAUUUCUUAUAUUUUCAUUCUAGUUUAUCGAAUUUUUUCUUGGAGAACCGGAAGGUUGCGCUAAUAUUAAACUUUUGGUUGAAUUUAUCACCGCAAAACUUUCUACUAGUGGAUUUAGAAUCUUUAAAACAAUAAUUGGUCAUAAAAAUUAGUUGACCGUACAACUCAAUAAAUACUCGUUUUCGGUUAAGAGUCCAUUUAAAAUUGUCUUCUCUCUCUGAUAGAUUUAAAAAAAUUCAAUCAUUUACCUAUAUAUUAACUAUUUUAAAACAUAAAAAAUAUUAAUUAUUUAUCUGUGCCGACAUUUAUGUAGAAAGAUUUAUAUCUUCUUCUUUAGAAAAUAUUGUGUUUUGUCGGCGAUUGGACAUCAUGUUUAUAAUUUUAAAAUGACAAAAAUAGUAUUAAUGUGACCUAUAUAGUUUGAGCUAAUCAUCGUACAUUAUUUAUAAAAUCAGAUAAAUAUAUUUUAAGUUAAGUGUUUAUAAGAAAAUUAUUUAUUGAAGAAAAAAAACAGACCGUUUUUUUCCACAAAAAGACAAAAAAAUUGAAAUGCAUGCAGAUCUCCCGUUUGAACUGCUUUUAAAAACAGAAAAAAGUGAAUGGUGAUUUAAGUGUGGGAAAACUGCUUAUGCGGAAUACCUGCAUNNNNNNNNNNNNNNNNNNNNNNNNNNNNNNNNNNNNNNNNNNNNNNNNNNNNNNNNNNNNNNNNNNNNNNNNNNNNNNNNNNNNNNNNNNNNNNNNNNNNNNNNNNNNNNNNNNNNNNNNNNNNNNNNNNNNNNNNNNNNNNNNNNNNNNNNNNNNNNNNNNNNNNNNNNNNNNNNNNNNNNNNNNNNNNNNNNNNNNNNNNNNNNNNNNNNNNNNNNNNNNNNNNNNNNNNNNNNNNNNNNNNNNNNNNNNNNNNNNNNNNNNNNNNNNNNNNNNNNNNNNNNNNNNNNNNNNNNNNNNNNNNNNNNNNNNNNNNNNNNNNNNNNNNNNNNNNNNNNNNNNNNNNNNNNNNNNNNNNNNNNNNNNNNNNNNNNNNNNNNNNNNNNNNNNUCCAGUGGCUUGACAUUAAACCCUUGAAACUCUUUAGCAACUACAUUUGGGGCCUGAAAAGGGUAUCGUUAAGCAACUAACAGCAAACAAGAACAAGCAGCGUGUAUGUUCUAGUAAAAACAAAAUAGGUCCGGAUCAUAACACAACUCAAGUACCUCGUUAAGGUCGGCCACAUUUGGUAAGGAAACAUGCAUAGCUUGUAUACAGGUGAUUUUCUUUGAACACCUGGUGAGAUUCUCUACUACUUUAUCAAGGCUCUCAAGUUGUUCUGGCUUCAGCAAGCUUCUAUUGCUGAAGCAUUCAUAAACAAGCACUUCUGACAGAUUAUGCAAGGCACUAACCACGGAAGAAACUCUUGUAGAAGAAGCCGGGGAUGUGAAACCUCCUUGAUCACGUAGAGGUGAUUGACCAUUUGAGACACCAUCUGCAUUCGAUCUACUACUACUCCCUUUGAUACUCAGAUCUGGCAACAACGCGGACUUCUUAUCAAACUGUUCCAGGAGCUUACAUGCCUUGGCUUGAACAUCUUCACUAGCUUCAGAAUGGGUUUCAUAGCUGAGAGCUGACUGAGCAGCAAUCCUGUUAUCAGCUUUCAUUGACUCACUUCCCUCAGAAGAUACCAUCAAGUGGUUCCAAGAUCCAUGCUCAUCACAAUUUAAAUCAAACUGUAGCGGCCGGGGAAUCUUUGAACUAGUUGAGCCAACUGUCCCGUCGCGAAGAUUUGGAUUAUCCGACAAAGGCUUGACAUGACCAAGCACGGGUUCAACAGAAGCACUAUACUCAGGAGAAUGACUAGAAACAUUGUCACCGAAUGAUCUUCCAGCUUCUGUUUUGAGCUUCCGUUUCCAAGAGCCAUGCUCAUCACAAUUUAAAUCAAACUGUAGCAUCCGGAGAAUAUUUGGAUUCACCGAGACGGGAGGAGCAGUGACACUUUCAUGCGUACCAUAGGCAGAACCAGAAUAGUAAUGAGGAGGAGGGUUGAGAUCAAAAGCAUUGGUAGUAGCACAAACACCAGAAGGAGGGAUAGGCAGAUAGAAAGGCUCCUGAGAGUUUCUGAUAAGCAUGUCAGCUAAAGAAGACACUGUAGCUGAGCUAUAUCCACCCUUGUCGUUGCUAGAAUCCUCACCCCCGUGACCUGCAGAGAGAAUAUAUAAUAAUCAUUAAAACUUUUAUGUAAUUCAUGAUCUCAUCACACGCUAACAUAAACAUCAUCAAAACUGGACUCCUCUCGAAACCCUCACAGUACCAUUAAACAGUUAAACCCCCCCAAAUUUGAGUGAUUAAAAUAUAUAUAUAUAUACCGAGUGGAGUGACAAACGAUGCUACAGGCACGGGAGGGCCAGUAUAAUCACCAGACGACGGCGAUCGGUGAUGAGGAAUCAUCGGAUCAAACCUUUGAUCGGAGGACUCUACAGGAUGGGUUGCGAGAAACUGCGGCGUAGAAGCUGGUGGAUGAGGUCGAAGCCAGUACGGGUGCGGUACCCCACCGAAACCGCCGUAGCCUAAUCCAUCUGCCAUCCUCGAAGAAGAAAAGUGAUUCUGCAGCUCUAAGUGCUGCUGAGGCUUGGCUUUAAGUUAAUCCAAAUUAGAAUCUUCCUAAUUGGCCAGGUCUUAUAUAGGGUUUUAACGUCACUGCGUCAUUAUCUACACAAUUUAAUGACCAUUAGUUUAUACAUAACCACGAUUUAUUUAAAAUACAGGAAAUACCGGACCGAUAAACAAUGGAAAUUUAGAUAUUUAUCAUUUAGAUAAUCAUGAUUUAUUAAAAAUACAGGUAAUAUCGGAACGAUAAACAUCGGAAAUUUAGAUAACUGUAAUUUCAUAUAUAUAUAUUUAUCUUAAUAAAAAAGUUAUCAUUUUUUUUGUAAACAAAAGUAACAUUGUAUCUACUUCCCAUUUUUAUAAAAGGUGAACAUUUAGUACAUACUAUAUGUAUGAAUAUGAAACGAGCAUAUGAGUUACAUGCCGUUGAUAAAGACAAUGAACUGGUCGCCAAAAACUUGAACAUUUUUAUCUGUUGAUCUUGUUCAUAGGAACAGCCUCGGAAGGCGCUGCAUUUACACUCGAGAAGACUUCCUUCUGUCUAAACUAGCCAUCCUUGGGUCAUAAUCCAAGGAAAUUGCAUGCUUAGUCUUCGAUAUAAGAUUCUAGAGAACCAAUGUAGGUUUUCUCUGUGGUUAGUCUCUUAUCCAGAUCCAGUACUCAGAUUGGUGAGGUUCUUGGUAUACACAUGACACUGUUAGUUUCAUUUGUAUAUGAUCACUUAUUUAUAGAUUGUGAAUGUUGUUGGCAUUAUCUUGAUCCUCACUAUGUGCACGCCCGGUCCCAUGCAUUGAGAGUUUUUAUUUUGUUAUUUGUAGUUUUGUUUGUGUUUGUGAAAAAAUUAAUGCUAAGCAGUUAAUAUUGGCAAAUGAGUAAUGAUGAUGACAAGUGCUGACGCUAUGAAGAAUGGUUGGUACUCAAGUAUUAUAUGGUCUUUCAAUCUGUAGAGCAAUCUUUAUAACUCAGGAAAAAUACGAAUAGAGCUAUAGUAAUCUUUGCAAUUAUUAUUCAAAAAAAAAAAAAGAUCUUUGCAAUUUCAUUGUCAACUGGAAAAAAAAAGCGUUUAAAAAAAGCUUAAUUAUGUAACAAGAACUCUAAUAGAGAGUCAGAGUAGCUGCUAGAGUGUUAACAUCUCAUCAUAACGUUAUACAUGUAUACAACCAAAUACCCUCUUACACUCGCCCCUGAUAAGGUGAAAACUGAAACCAAAACCAAAUAAAAAAAGAACCUGGUUCGAGCACAAUAUAUACAUACAAUAAAGGUUCUGGUUUUCAGAUCAUCACGGAAGCUGCUCGGAAGUCUGCGGUUAGACUGCAAACUGACAUCAAGAACAGG